UUUGAACAAGCAACAAAAAUUCAAGGAGGCUGCGAUACGAAUUAAUAUAUUUAUAAAAUGUACAUCUUUAAAUAUACUACACAUAUGAAAUUUUAGCAGGAAUUGCUUGGCGAUGUCCUUUCCACUAUCCGUUGACGUUGCUGUUGUUGGCCUUCUUCCGGCAGAGGCGGUCCAAGAUGAAGGGCUCGCAUUAUUAGUGCGCAGCAUCCGCAAAAAAUAAGGCAAAGGCAGAUACCGCAGCAACAAAUACACAAGGUAAUCAUUAAGAUGGGAAGCAAAAUAAACGCUAUGCCUCUUAACAUUUUAAAAAAUGUAUUUUGAAGCUGGAAUUUCGACAACUGGAGUUGCAGAAAUCCCAGUGAAGCAAGAGGGAUUCUAAAAUAAAUGUUGUGUUAGCAAAGUUAGUUCAAUCUUGUUAAAUUGAUCUGAAGGGAUAUUUUAACAACAGAAUGUCAUGUUCUUGUAUUUUUAGAUGAAUUAAUUUUCAAAAAAGUUAAACCCUGUUAUAAAUUGACAAAUAAUUCGUGA